rnacentral:rRNA from 1 species
AUUGAACGCUGGCGGCAGGCCUAACACAUGCAAGUCGAGCGGAUGAAGUGAGCUUGCUCCUGGAUUCAGCGGCGGACGGGUGAGUAAUGCCUAGGAAUCUGCCUGGUAGUGGGGGAUAACGUCCGGAAACGGGCGCUAAUACCGCAUACGUCCUGAGGGAGAAAGUGGGGGAUCUUCGGACCUCACGCUAUCAGAUGAGCCUAGGUCGGAUUAGCUAGUUGGUGGGGUAAAGGCCUACCAAGGCGACGAUCCGUAACUGGUCUGAGAGGAUGAUCAGUCACACUGGAACUGAGACACGGUCCAGACUCCUACGGGAGGCAGCAGUGGGGAAUAUUGGACAAUGGGCGAAAGCCUGAUCCAGCCAUGCCGCGUGUGUGAAGAAGGUCUUCAGAUUGUAAAGCACUUUAAGUUGGGAGGAAGGGCAGUAAGUUAAUACCUUGCUGUUUUGACGUUACCAACAGAAUAAGCACCGGCUAACUUCGUG